AGUCUAUUGCCCAUUUUAGAUCUGUGAAGUAUUCUUUACACAGUCUUGAAAUGAGCCUUUGAUCAGUUAUAUGCACUGCAAAUAUUUUAUUCCACUGAAUGGCUUCUCUUUCAUUCUAUUUAUUUUUUUUCUUUGAGACGGAGUCUUACUCUGUCACCCAGGUGGGAGUGUAGUGGUGCGAUCUCAGCUCACUGCAACCUCCCAGGUCCAAGUGAUUCUCCUGCCUCAGCCUCCUUUUUUUUUUUUUUUUUUUUUUUUUUUUUUUUUUUUUUUUUUUUUUUUUUUUUUUUUUUUUUUUUUUUUUUUUUUUUUUUUUUUUUUUUUUUUUUUUUUUUUUUUUUUUUUUUUUUUUUUUUUGUGUUGGCCAGGGUGACCUCGAUCUCCUCACCUCGUGAUCUGCCCGCCUUGGCCUCCCAAAGAGGACAGUUUCUUAAACAGGAUACAGAAAGCACCAACUGUAGAAGAAAAUGUUGAUAAAUUGGGCUACAUUAAAGUUAAGGACUUUUCUUUAUCGAAAUAUACCAUUAAUAGAGUGAAAUGAUCCUUUGUGGUUCAUAAGCAUGAUGAUUGAGUGUUCACGUGCAUGUAUGAGAUGUGCCACCCUGAGACCUUGUUACGAAGUCAAUGUAUUACCCAUUUGAGAUUACCAAAAAAGAGUGAGCUGGGCGCAGUGGCUCACGCCUGUAAUCCUAGCACUUUGGGAGGCUGAGAAAGGUAGAUUGCUUGAGUCCAAGAGUUUGAGACCAGCCCAGGCAACACAGUGAAACCCUGUCUCUACAAAAAAAUGCAAAAAUUAGCUGGGCAUGGUGGUGUGUACCAGCUACUUGGGAGGCUGAGUGGGAGGAUCAUCUGAGUCCAGGAGGUCAAGGUUGCAGUGAGCUGUGAUCGCACUACUGCACUCCAGCCUGGGUGACAGAGUAAGACCCUGUCUCAAAAAAAAAGAAAAAAAUCUUCCUUUAUUCCAAAGUCAUGAACAUAUUCUCAUAUGCCAGCUUUGAGAAUUUUUAUUAUUUUGUAUUUCACACUUGGAUCCAUAAUCCACACAAGAUACAUUCUUCACUUUUUAAUUGAUGUAUAACUUACAGUACAUAAAUAUAUAUAUUCAUAUAGUAUAUGUACAUACUUUAUAUAUAUUAUUAUUUUAUUUUAGAGACAGGGUCUGGCUGUGUCACCCAGGCUGGAGUAUAACGGUGCAAUCUUGGCUCUGCAACUUCUGCCUCCCAGCGUCAAGUCAUCCUCCCACCUCAGCUUCCCGAGUAGCUGGGACGACAGGCGUGCACCACCAUGCCCGGUUAAUUUUUGUAUUUUUUGUAGAGAUGGAGUUUCACCAUAUUACCCAGGCUGGUCUCGAACUCCUGAGCUCAAGCAAUCCACCCGCCUCAGUCUCCCAAAGUGCUGGGAUUACAGGCAUGAACCACCGCACCUGGCCUAAUUUAUUUAUUUAUUUUUGUUACAGACAGAGUCUGUCUCUGUCAUGUAGACUGGAGUGCAAUGUCAUGAUCACAGCUCUUUGCAACCUUGAACUCCUGGGCCCAAGCAACCCUCCUGCCUCAGCCUCCUGAGUAGCUAGGAGUGCAGGUUCACACCACCAUGCCCAACUAAUUUUUUUUUUUUUUUUUUGUAGAGACAGAGUUCUUGCUAUGUUGCCCAGGAUGGUCUUGAACUCCUGGGCUCAAGCAAUCCUCCUGCCUUGGCUUCCCAAAGUGCUGGGAUUACAGGCGUGAGCCACUGCACCCAGUCUAAUUUAUUUUAUUUUAGAGAUAUAGUCUCUCUCUGUCACAUAGACUGGAGUGUACUGUCAUCAUCAUAGCUUCCUGCCACCUUCAGCUCUUGAGCCGAAGCAAUCCGCCUGCCUCAGCCUCCCGAGUAGCUAGGACUACAGGCACACACCACCAUGCCUGGCUAAUUUUAAAAUAUUUUUGUAGAGACAGGGUUCUUGCUACCUUGACCAGGUCGGCCUUGAACUCCUGGGAUCAAACAAUCCUCCUGCCUCAGCCUCCCAAAGUGCUGGGAUUCCAUGAGCCACCAUGCCUGGCUCUAAAUGCACAAAUCUUAAGUGUUCAGCAUGAUUGAUUUUUAUGUACAUAUGUGUACAUUUAGUAUAAAUGUGUGUCUGUGUGUGCAUAUACACAUAUACAUACAUAUGGUAACCAUUACCAGAUCAACAUAUUGAAUAUUUCUUACAUUCUAGAAGUACCUCCUCCAGUCAAUAACCCUAAAGGUUAUACUACUCUGCCUCUAUCACCACCGAUUAUUUUGCCUGUUCUUGAACUUCACAUACAUAAAAUCAUAUAUAUAUAUAUUUUUGAGACAUAGUCUCGCUCUGCUGCCCAGACUCGGAUGGUGUGAUCACAGCUCACUGCAGCCUCAACCUCCUGGGAUCAAACAAUCCUCCUGCUUCAGCCUUCUGAGUAGCUAGGACUACAGGUAUGUGCCACCAUGCCCAGCUAAUUUUUAUAUUUUUCUGUAGAAACAGUUUCAUUGUGUUGCCCAGGCUGGUCUCAAACUCCUAGGCUCAGGUGAUCUGGUCACCUCAGCUAACAAAGCGCUGGGAUUACAGGCGUGAGCCACUGCAUCCAGCCAAAUCAUCAAUUUUGUGCACUUCUGCAUAUAUUUUGUUCAACAUUAUGCAUGUGAAAAUCAUCCACGAACUACUGCUACAUGUAUGUUGUUGCAUGCUAUAUGCCUGUAGCAGUUCAUUCAGCAGUUCAGUAAUCUUCAUUACUAUAUAAUAUUUCAUCAUAUGAAUAACUACUACUUAUUUAUCCAUUCUGCUGUUGAUGAGCAUUUGAGUUAUUUCUUGUUUCAAGGUAUUAUGAAUAAAUCUGCUAUGAAUUUUUUUUUUCCAAGACAGUUUCGCUUAUUGCCCAGGCUGGAGUGUAAUGGCACAAUCUCGGUUCACUGCAACCUCUGCCUCCCGGGUUCAAGCGAUUCUCCUGCCUCAGCCUCCUGAGAAGCUGAGAUUACAGAUAGGUGCCACCACACCCAGCUAAUUUUUAGUAGUGAUGGGGUUUCACCAUGUUGGCCAGGCUGGUCUCGAUCUCCUGACCUUGUGAUCCGCCGCUUCAGCCUCCCAAAGUGCUGGGAUUACAGGUGUGAGCCACUGUGCCCUGCCAAAGUGGUACAUAAAAACUUUCACUCCGCCACCAGGAAGACAAUUUGCCCAACCCGUUCAAUACAGUUCCCGCUCAACAAACCCUAAUUUAGCAUCUUCUAUGUGUCAGGCAGUAUGCUGAGCAUUGGGACCUCAAGGAUAAGGAAGAUGCAGUCUCUGCCCUAGAGGAGCUUACAGCAGCAGGAGGUUUCUGUCAUAGGACAGACCCAGGGCUCACCAAGACUCAAGCAGAUGAUGAAGCCUGGGGCUCACUGGCCCAAUCAGCGUAUUCAGACUGGCUGGCUGCUUAUGAGCCUCUUGGGCCAGGGCUGCCUGCUCAGUGGGCAGCUGACUCUAGCUGCUGCAAAAUGCCUUUCACUCAAAGGUGCUAUCUACCAGUGAUUAUAAGGCAUUCCAAUUUUACUUGGAAGGGAGAUGCAGCUACCAGCUGUUUCUUCCCUCUCCCAACCACAAAGUAACACAUUUUUCAUUUGUCUAUCUGUUGUUUCCAGGUUUUUGCUUUUGCCAAUCCCCUCCCUCACAUGCCUUGAAACAAGCACUUUCAAAGACAAAGACAUAAACAACAAAAUGGUGCAGGCUGAGGUGGGUCAUCUUCUCUGCCUGCGUCUCCAACUCUGGAUCCUGCAGUUACUGGACUCAGGCCAUGGCUGACUCCUUCAUCACAGCUAAGAUGCUGCUGGGUUUAAGGCACUGUGACUUUCUGUGCCACUAAGACCGACAAAAAGCUGCCAAGUGAACGAUGACACAAAGAAAGACACAAACUGUGGGACCCAGCCCAACUUCAGAGCUGUUAAAAUGUGAACAAAAAUGCAUCCCGGAAUGGAUGGAAACCGAUCAUUCUAGUUGGUCUGACCUGCUCCAGUGCCUACAGUACGCGUCCUGACAGCGUGGGAGGGGAUAUGAAGGCCCCCCAGUCAAACAGGAGACAGCGUUAGCCUCCAAACUUAACUUUGUUCUCUCUUUCCCUCCUGGGGCCCAAUACCCGCCAGCCAGGACCUGUUUCUCCUCCAUCUCACAUUCUUUCCAGGUUCAGGACUGAAGUCGUCUUGUUCAGCUCCUUGGCUUGGCCAUGCUCACUCUACAAUGCAGCCCAUGGAUGGCGCCGCCUCUGCCCAGCACAUCCCUCUGCCUGGGCUCCUGUCUCCCCGAAUCCUGCAAACCCCAGCCCCAGCCUUUAGCGUUCAGCCGCCCUCCCCGCUUCCCUCAUCCUCCCUUGCGUCCUCGCAGUGAGAUUUCAACAUGUCAUCUCAGUUUUUUUGUUCUUUUACUUUCCUGACUACAAGAAAAAUAAAAUAAUCUGUCUUAAAGUGUAGCAUGAGGCCAAAUAAUUACGGAAUCCCAAGUGCUUUGGGCCCUGAUGUCAAAAGAGCCAAGAUGAAUUCAGAAUAUUACAAUGGUGCUGUUUCUGUGAAUACUGCUUUUUCAAGACGCCUUAUUCCUAACAUCAUGUUUUAUAUCCAUCCUUUUAAACAAAUAUUUAAUAGCCUGGGAAUGCUGGCGAGGGCAGCGGCUCCUGUCAGCAAGGACUGAGCUCACAAUUUGAAAGCUGAAAGGAGAUGCGUUCUACCCACAAAGAAAACGGUCUCCAGCAUCAUAAACUCCACAUCCAUCAAACCGGGCAGGGGCUGGGAAUAGAAAGCCUUUCUGGAAAGAAAACACCAGCUACCCUUUGCACCCUGGGGAACAUUAAAAAUCAAAACAAAACAUACCACAUCAACCAAAACAUAAACCAGUUCUCAAACCAAUCUAAGGUUCCACCCCACCAAGGCCGGCCGCGCAGUGGCCUGUGGAGAGGAGGGCCCGGCUCACGUCGGAACCCGAACUACGCGGGGUCGCAGGAACCUGAAAAGCGCCAGAGUAGCCCGGCGGCCGCACCGGGGCUGACCUGCAGGGCCUGGACCAGCCAGGAGUCCCAGGGAAGUCGAGUGCUCUCUGAGCGCUAACCACGGGCCCCUGCGGUUCCUCGGCCUCAGUUUCCUUACCUGUAAAAUGGAACCGCUGAUCCUGCCUCCUGAGUUGUGGAGCGAGGCCCGCACCUGGAAGCCUUGGCCACAGACGGCGGGAAGGGCAGGGCACCGGGGUGAGGGAGGGUGGCGGGAAUUCGCACGGCCUCAGAGGACGGGGCCAGCUAGCCGGGAAAGGAAGCAGGAGCAGGCUCCCCAGGCGGCGCAGUGGGAGGACCCCAAGAGUUGCGUCCCUAGAUCCAGGGCCGCCAACGUUGCACCUAAAGGUCCAGUUCUGGGGAUUGAGUUCCGACUCCAAGCCAAGCUGCCAGCUCACAGCCGCCGCCGCCGCCGCCGCCAGCUGGGGAACUCGCCGGCCAAGUGCGCACCCUCUUCCUGUUAGCCCUCCACGUGCGCGCCCUCUUCCUGCUCGCCCUCCACGUGCGCGCCCUCUUCCUGCUCGCCCUCCACGUGCGCAUCCACGUGCGCGGUAAUUGGCUGGCGGAAGCUCCUGCCCCCAGGCAGCCCUGGGUCACGCGCACUUGUAGCUUGCAUUUACCAAGACAGUGAGACAGUGGCCUGGCGCGGUGCCUCAUGCCUAUAAUCCCAGCACUUUGGGAGGCUGAGACGGGACGAUUGCUUGAGCCCAGGAGUGAGAGACCUGCCUGGGCGACAUGGCGAAACCCCGUCUCUACUAAAAAUACAAAAAUUAGCCUGGCGUGGGCAAGGCGCGGUGGCUCAUGCCUGUAAUCCCAGCACUUUGGGAGGCCGAGGCGGGCGAAUUGCCUGAGGUCAGGAGUUCCAGACCAGUCUGGCCAACAUGGUGAAGCCCUGUCUCUACUAAAAAUUAAAAAAAAGUUAACCGGGCUUGGUGGCUGGCGUGCGCCUGUAAUCCCAGUUGAGCGGGAGGCUGAGGCAGGGGAAUUGCUUGAACCAGGGAGGUGNNNNNNNNNNAAAAAAGUUAACCGGGCUGGGUGGCUGGCGUGCCCCUGUAAUCCCAGUUGAGCGGGAGGCUGAGGCAGGGGAAUUGCUUGAACCAGGGAGGUGGAGGUUGCAAUGAGCUGAGAUCGCGCCACUGCACUCCAGCCUGGGCGGCAGAGCAAGACCCCUUUUCAAAAAAAAAAAAAAAAAAAAAAAAAAAAAAAAAAAAGCCGGGCAUAGUGGUGCAGUGCCUGUAGCCCCAACUACUUCAGAGGCUGAGGUGAGAGGAUCACUUGAGCCUGGGAGGCGUAGGCAGAGGUUGCAGUGAGCCGAGAUCGUGGCACUGUACUCCAGCCUGGCGAAAGAGCAAGCCCCCAUCUCUAACACACACACACACACACGUGUGAGAUAGCUGUGUCUGUUUGGCAGUGAUGAGCUUCCCUUUAUGGGAGAUUUACAUAAUUAUUCAUAAAGGAGCGGGAAUGGGCAUUCAACACUUUGGGAGGCCGAGGCAGGCUGAUCACGAGGUCAGGAAUUUGAGACCAGCCUGGCCAACAUGGCAAAACCGCAUCACUACUAAAAUCACAGCAGUGAGCUGAUAUCACCCCAUUGCACUCCAGCCUGGGCAAUAAGAGUGAAAUUCUGUCUCAAAAAAAAAAAAAAAAAGAAAAAAAGAAAGAAAGAAAAGAAAGGCUCAUUUUCUAUUUGCCUGAUCUUNNNNNNNNNNNNNNNNNNNNNNNNNNNNNNNNNNNNNNNNNNNNNNNNNNNNNNNNNNNNNNNNNNNUUUUUGAGACAGAGUCUUGCUCUGACGCCCAGGCUGGAGUGCAGUCGUGCAGUCUCGGCUCACUGCAAGCUCUGCCUCCCGGGUUCAUGCCAUUCUCCUGCUUCAGGCUCCCGAGUAGCUGGGACUACAGGUGGCCGCCACCAUGCCCAGCUCAUUUUUAGUAUUUUUAGUAGAGAUGGGGU
rnacentral:lncRNA from 1 species